UACGUAGGGGUGCAAGCGUUUGUCCGGAAUUAUUGGGCGUAAAAGAGCUCGUAGGCGGUCUGUCGCGUCUGCUGUGAAAACUCAGGGGCUUUAACCCCUGAGCUUGCAGUGGGGUACGGGGCAGACUAGAGUGCGGGUAGGGGGAGACUGGAAUUUCCUGGUGUAGCGGGUGAAAUGCGCAGAUAUCAGGGGAGGGAAACACCC
rnacentral:rRNA from 1 species